UUAAGGAUAAGAGACUGUCUUGAUAUUUUCAGUGUAAAACUUGAUUUUAUUUUUUCUUUCAGGCUACCCCUAGUGGUUGGUCCUUGCCUAUUAAGGCUAUGGCCAGAUCCCCACCCCUUUGGGCCAUUUGUGUAUCUAUAUUUUGUCAGUCUUAUGCUGUUAACAUCAUGGGGUUAAUGUUGCCAACCCUGAUCAAGAAUAUGUUUGAUUUUGACCUCAGAAAUAUUCUUUAUCCUUCCUGAACAAAUCAUUAAGGUUUUCCUGGUCUUCUGAACCUGACUGAGGAGAACCACAAAGAAGAGUUGCAUGCUUGAUUAAGAGACUCUUAAGGUUGGAAGGAACUUCAGAAGCCAUCCUGAACAAGAAUCCUUCUCUACAACAUACAUAAUGAGUUAUCAUCUAGCCUUUAAUUGAAGAUCUCUAGGUAGCUAGGAAAUGCAGUGGACAGAGUGCUAGCUUUGAAGUCCAGAAAUCCCAAGCUCAAAUCAGACCUCAGACACCUCCUGGCUGUAUGAUCCUGGGCAAGACAUUGCCUCAAUUUUCUCAUCUAAAAAUGGAUGUAAGAAUGGUACCUACCUCUCAGGUGGUUGUGAGGAUCAAAUAAAAUAACAUAUUUAAAGCA
rnacentral:lncRNA from 1 species